AACAAACCAAUUUUUCACUUUUUACCUAUAAUUUUUUACUCUUCGUCUUAUUCAAAAAUUUUUUGCGAUUGAUAUUUUUGUUUUUAUUAGAAGAUAAAUCAUGAAUAGUACUUUACGUGUGACUAAUUUUCUUCUAAUUUCCUAAAAAAAAUUUCAAAUAAGAUAAAUGGUCAAACGUUGGACACGGAAACCGGAGAAUUAGCUUUUU
rnacentral:pre_miRNA from 1 species